rnacentral:lncRNA from 1 species
CACAAUAACCCUCAAUCAACAACAGAUAUGGACUUGAUUAUUUUUGAAUCGUAAAGACCACAUAACAUACUACAUGUUACAAGCUUUAAACAUCAAAAACACAUAAUACACACGGAUCUAGAGCCUCUGACAUAUGGCUGUCAGACGAAAAUUUUCCCAUUUUCCAGAUUUGCUAAAAAUUUGAAAUCGUGCACUUUGAUGUUAUGGGUCAUGGAUUUAACAACCCAGAUCAUCAAUUGACACCCUAUUACAAAACUUUAACAAAU